rnacentral:lncRNA from 1 species
GACUUGAUGAUGAAUGUUGCAUUGAAUAAAUUUUCUUUUUUUUCUUUCUUAUUAUAUUUUUAUUUUUUUACUGCUUUCAGUAUUAUCUGAAGUGCCUUGGACUAUACCCAUUAUACUGUUUCGAGAACCACUCCCCUCAAACCUAAAUGGUUUUUCAGGAAAUACUCGAUAUUUUUCUAGUUCCUUGUUCACUUAAACAUUUUAUUUAUCUCACCGUAAGUUGACAUUUGAACGGCUGUACUUAAUUUUUUUUAUUCUGUUUUACAAUACUUACGAAUAUGUUCCGAACCAUAUCAAUAUUUGGACCAUAUGCGUGCGGUCAUGACCAUAUGCGUAUACUCAUAUGGUCUGACCGUACGCGUAUGAUUGGACCAUAUUAGUAUUAUAUUCGUUUUAUUAUCAACGGGCUGGACCAUAUGAGGUAUUUGGACCAUAAAGGUUUUUCUUUUUAAAUAUCUAAUCUGGAAACAGUAUAUCUAGUUAAAACAAAAAUCUCGAUUUGAAAUAAAUGUAUAAUACCAUGUAAUAUAAAGUCUUCAAAAACUGAAUAACUGAUUUAGAAUAUUAGCCUCCAGCAAGCAAGCACGCUACUCAUGUUUUUUGU